rnacentral:lncRNA from 1 species
GACUAAGAGGAGCUACGUCUACACUGACACACCUUCAUUUGCUGAGUGUGCAUGGCUCUCCUCCCAAGCCUGGCAUCUGUGAGCCCACUUCCUGCUGAUCACUCAUGGAGCCCCACCACCUACAUCAUAUCACUCUGCCAUUCUUGACUGC